UUCGCCACCCUUGCUGGGUGGGCGGUUGGGCGCAGGCUGCCAUGUCCCUGGUUCUUCCCCGGGCUGCACUCUCCAGAGAUACCAGGAGGAUGCCCUGCUGGGUUAACAGGUUGUGGCUUUCACUUCCUCCUCACUGGCAGGCACCUCAAGCAAUCAUUUCUCCUAAUAACUCUGUACACCUCCCCCUUAAGGAAAUCACUCACACCGAGGCUUAAGCAACUGACAAGCGUUCAUCCUUUAAUUUAAGACACAGACAGAGGGAAGAUAAUGUGAGGAC